rnacentral:rRNA from 1 species
UACGGAGGGGGCUAGCGUUGUUCGGAAUUACUGGGCGUAAAGCGCGCGUAGGCGGACCUGCAAGUCGGGGGUGAAAGCCCGAGGCUCAACCCCGGGCCUGCAUCCGAUACUCCCGGGCUGGAGGCAGGUAGGGGAGAUCGGAAUUCCUGGUGUAGCGGUGAAAUGCGCAGAUAUCAGGAGGAACACCGGUGGCGAAGGCGGAUCUCUGGGCCUGUCCUGACGCUGAGGCGCGAAAGCUAGGGGAGCGAACAGG